GGUGGUGAAGACAAUCUGAUGAUGACAUUGGUCUCCCCAUUGAUCCUAGGAUUUAUCAGACAAUCUGGCUGGAUGGGCAAGUGUCCCUUUUCUCCCUCUUUGCUUUAUAUGUGCACUUAAUAGACAUGGAUAACCUUCCCUGAGGGAAGCAUUCUAUUCUUUUUUUUUUUCAAGGGUAAAGGCAACAUCUUUAAUCAAAAAAGAUUUAACAGGGCUUGGGAUGUAGCUCAGUAGAAGAGUUCUUGCAUAGCACACGUGAGGCCCUGGGUUCCAUCCCCAGUG
rnacentral:sRNA from 1 species